UAGGUUGAGCCUACGUCGGAUUAGCUAGUUGGUGGGGUAAAGGCCUACCAAAGCGACGAUCCGUAGCUGGUCUGAGAGGAUGACCAGCCACACUGGGACUGAGACACGGCCCAGACUCCUACGGGAGGCAGCAGUGGGGAAUCUUGGACAAUGGGGGAAACCCUGAUCCAGCGAUACCGCGUGUGUGAAGAAGGCCUUCGGGU
rnacentral:rRNA from 1 species